CCCAGAACAAACUCAUUUAAAAUGGCUCUCUUCAAUGUGAGAUCACUUUCAACUUCCCAGUCGACGGACACCAGCCCUGCUCCCAGACCACCUGUGCCCCUGACCCCAUCUGUUGUGGGGCCACCAGCUUCCCACUCCACAGGCCCCAGUUCUGUGGAAGAUGCCACUCAGUUGGAUAGCUAGGAGUCCCAACCAGCACAUGAUUGAAAUAUUUGGAGGUUCGGGGCUAAGGAGUGCCCCAGAGGGCACAAUCUCCUCCACACCCCUCUUUCAGAACCCACAAGCCCCAACCUGCUGAAGAUCUGGAGAGGUAGAGGAGGUUGAAAGAAAGAAGGAACUUCGGAAAAAAGAUCUUUGCCAAAUAUCCCAGAGCCUGGACCAAAUUGACAAAGAGCAAGAUGGAAUAAUAGAGUUACUU